AAACACAUAAUAAUUUAAAAAAUUAUAUAAAAGUCAAAAAUAAACCAAUUAAAGUAAAUAAAUCGAAAUUGGGGUUUUACAAAAACCAUGUCGAGAAAAAUGUGAAAAGGCCAAGAAGUUACCUGCUCGGAAAUUAGAGAUUUCCAGAUUCCGAUGAAGUUCACGGAGGGUAUGCACUUUCCAGCGAGUCUCUGACGAUCCUUCCUAGAAUUCGACGAGGUCCAAAAUGUCAGGUCAAUACGAUUUCAAGCUCCUUAAUCAUUUUCCUUCAGUCCUCUUCUACUCUUUCUCUACUUCUUCUAAACCGCCUUCGAUUCACUAUUUUGGUUUUUUUUUUCUGUUUGUGAGUUGUUGUUGAAAGUAUGGCGUUAUGAUUGAGAAUUAUGGUAUUAUGGCUUGAAGGUGGAUCUGUGGUGAUGAGGAAAUUGGUGAAGUAAUGGAAGAAAGUGAUGGUAUAAUUAUAAUAAGGUCAAAGGUGGUGUUUUUGUUGACAUGGAGGUUGUUAUGUUAAUGGUGGUUAAUGAGAUUAGAGAUGAAGAAGGGAGGUUGUUUUAUGGUUUGUUGUGGUAAGGUUGAAGAAUAAAAAAGGGAAUGAGGUGUGUUAUAUAAAGGAGUGAUGAAUGAAGGUUAAUGAGGUUUAUGGUUUAUGGAAGAAAUUGGUGAAUAUUUGUGUUGAUAGAGUAACUUGAAAGAGGAAGUUGUAGAAUGGCGGUGAAAGGAAAUGGUGGAGGAGAGUGAAGAUGGUUGAAUGGUAAGGUUUAGGCAUGUGAAUUAUUUACAGAUAUAUUUCUUCUCCCUCACCAUGCUAAUUUUUCUUCUUCUUUAUAGAGAUUCGUACAUCUUUAGAUCCACUUUUUGUGGGAUAUUUGUGAGAGUGUGAGAUUUGCAAAACUUAUGUGAAAUGUUAUUUAGAAAAAGAGAGUGAAAUGUGUGAAUCCAUGGGAAGUUUUAUGAAUAGAAAGUGGUGAUCCAAAGUGUGACUCCUUGUAAGAAUGAGUGGAAAUUUUAGAAACUUUUGUUAUGGUUUUGUGGUGUUUCCCGUGAGAACUAGUAUGACAUAGCAUGAAUGUAUCAUGUGGUGAUGUAGCAUGAAUGAAAAGAUGAUGUAAUAGAGCUUUUUGUAGCUUUUUUUAGUGUAAUGUCAAAUUUGUUGUAAUUCGUACAUGAGAAUCGUAUGGCAUGUGUGUAUUAUUUUUUCAUGACCAUGUAAUGAUGUAAGCUAUUUCAAUUCUUCUCAACUUUCGUCUUUUAAGCCAAUUUAGUGAAUUUUAU
rnacentral:lncRNA from 1 species